ACAUCAAGCUAGCACACCAGCAGCUAGCGCGAGCGGCCACUUCCCCUCCUCUUAUCUCCCUCGCGCGUCCGCCCACACAAACCACCAAAUCGAGCGGCCAUCGGCAACCUCCGCCUCCCCGUGCUCCAUUUGUUUUCCAGAUCGGAUACGGCGCGGAGUAGAUAGAACCUGGGAGUCUUCCUUCCGGCGACGGCGGCGCAUUAGAGCAAGAAGAGGAAACCCCUCGCGACUUCUCCUUACGAGUGGCGCGGGAUAGAACGGCGCAACCAGCUUUGCGAUUUCCCUACUCUUCCGCAGAUUGGACAUGGCGCAGAGUAGUGGCACAAGGAAGAAAACGAAGAGGGAAGACCAGGGAGUUUUCUUUCAGGCGGCGGUGGUGCAGUAGAGAAAGAGGAGGAAACCCCUCACGACUUCUCGUCCUGAGCGGCGUGGGAUGGAACGGCCCGACCAGCUUUGCAAUUUUCCUACUCUUCCACAGCUUCAAGCGGUCGUAUGCGCGGUUGCGCCAAAGUGACGCGCUGCAGUCCUCACGCUCGACGAUGACGUAGGGAAUGGAGAACUGGGUAAGGCAUGCUGCUGUCGCGAGGCCUGCUGGACCAGCACCAACAAUCAGCACGACAACGUUCUCCAUUGCGAAGGCAAAAUUUGACGAAGUUGUGGGAUAGGGGUGCGGUGGUAGGCUAGGAGACUUAGAGUAAGAAGAGGUACUUGUUUACUUGUUGGCUGAAUGGAUAUUUGGAAGAGAUAGUUGCAUAUGAGACAUAUAUAUAUACUUGUAAAAUUCGCCUACCUGCUCUAUUUUGUGACUGGGUGCAGAAAAAGGUAACUAUCUAUUGGUGCAUAUUACCUGGUCUAUCUAGUUCCUCUAGAUAUGUAAUGUUAUAAAUGGCAUUGUUGCUGUGAAGACAACCUGGUACGGAAUAGGUAGGAAAGGCAAUCUAGAUAUAUUCUUUUGGAAACUUACACCAUAUUUGCGUAUAGUUGAUUAAUGUUUCCUUCCUUUUGUAUCGUCAUCAAUGAAAAUAUACUCAUGGGAAAAAGAUUUGUUCUGA